GUCGAGCGGAACGAAGAGGUGCUUGCACCUCUGGCGUCGAGCGGCGGACGGGUGAGUAAUACUUGGGAACUUGCCUCUAGGCGGGGGACAACCACUGGAAACGGUGGCUAAUACCGCAUAAUGUCUACGGACCAAAGUGGGGGACCUUCGGGCCUCACACCUAGAGAUGGGCCCAAGCGGGAUUAGCUAGUUGGUAAGGUAACGGCUUACCAAGGCGACGAUCCCUAGCUGUUCUGAGAGGAUGAUCAGCCACACUGGGACUGAGACACGGCCCAGACUCCUACGGGAGGCAGCAGUGGGGAAUAUUGGACAAUGGGGGCAACCCUGAUCCAGCCAUGCCGCGUGUGUGAAGAAGGCCUUCGGGUUGUAAAGCACUUUCAAUGGUGAGGAAAGGGUGCUAGUUAAUAACUAGCACAGUUGACGUUAGCCACAGAAGAAGCACCGGCUUACUCCGUGCCAGCAGCCGCGGUAAUACGGAGGGUGCAAGCGUUUAAUCGGAAUUACUGGGGGUAAAGCGUACG
rnacentral:rRNA from 1 species